ensembl:lncRNA
UGCCUAUAUUUCCUUUCUCGUUCUGUUAGACAUCAGUCUUUUACCACCGUUAAACAUAAAUCAUCUACUGCCCGGUGUGUCCCCGAAGGUGCAAUCCUCGCUCUACUUUUUUUCACCGUAUUUAUGCUUGUUUCUUAGCCAGAUCAUUCAUAAACCGGGUUUUACCGUAACUCCAUCGGUUAGGAAUAUAAUUUCUCGCAGUACUCGGCCCCCCACAGCCCUUCCUUCCACCCCGUUACCUGAACGCUUUCAUGAUGGAGUCCAGCAGAGGUACAACCCAUUAAAGCAACAAAUCCAAACGAUCGUCUUGAGCAUCAUGUAAAGGAGGAUGAGAUGGAAGCAAAUGCAGCAACAGCUCUUGGGUACCAAUCUACAGUAUCCAGUAAGCGCUUUGUUCUGGUCGGGGUUGGGGUGGAUCCGGAGUCUAUCCCGGUGAAUACCGGUCUCGAGGCGGGAAUCUGACCCGGAUGGGACACCAGUCCAUCGUAGGUCACACAAAUAUUAACACCAUGGGGCUGUUCAGAGCGGGCAAUCCAUCUGGCAUGUUUUUGGGAGGUGGAGGAAACCGGAGAACCCACAGGAAACCCACAUGGACAAGGGAAGAAAGUGGAGGGAAACUCCAUGCAUUGCUUAGAGCAAUUAAAUAGUAGAACUGGGCAUCAUGAAUCAUUGACAAACAGAUGGCCACUGAGUGUUAUACCC